ACGACUCUCGGCAACGGAUAUCUUGGCUCUCGCAUCGAUGAAGAACGUAGCAAAAUGCGAUACUUGGUGUGAAUUGCAGAAUCCCGUGAAUCAUCGAGUUUUUGAACGCAAGUUGCGCCUGAAGCCAUUAGGCCGAAGGCACGUCUGCCUGGGCGUCUCGC
rnacentral:rRNA from 1 species